UACGAAGGGGGCUAGCGUUGCUCGGAAUCACUGGGCGUAAAGGGUGCGUAGGCGGGUCUUUAAGUCAGGGGUGAAAUCCUGGAGCUCAACUCCAGAACUGCCUUUGAUACUGAAGAUCUUGAGUUCGGGAGAGGUGAGUGGAACUGCGAGUGUAGAGGUGAAAUUCGUAGAUAUUCGCAAGAACACCAGUGGCGAAGGCGGCUCACUGGCCCGAUACUGACGCUGAGGCACGAAAGCGUGGGGAGCAAACAGGGAUUAAGAAACCCCAGU
rnacentral:rRNA from 1 species